CUUAUCCUUAUUUUCAAGCACCUUGUGGUCAUUCCAACAUACUGGAAGCCACAAGGGCAUUCAAGCAAAUAAAUCACAUUUUUGGUGUUACAACUUAUAAAUUCUUUAAUUUGAUAGGUAGUUCUCGUUCUAUUGGAAGUAAAAUCAGUAAUUUUAGAUGGUAGAGUGGAAUCGGUAGUUUUACACACAAUACACGUUUUACACUUAUAAAAACCUUUAGCUUGAGGAAAAAAAGAUAUUG